rnacentral:rRNA from 1 species
UAUUGCACAAUGGGGGAAACCCUGAUGCAGCGACGCCGUGUGUGGGAAGACGGUCCUCUGUGUUGUAAACCACUGUCCCCAGGGACGAAGAUGACGGUACCUGGGGAGGAAGCUCCGGCUAACUACGUGCCAGCAGCCGCGGUAAUACGUAGGGAGCGAGCGUUGUCCGGAAUUACUGGGUGUAAAGGGAGCGUAGGCGGGACUGCAAGUUGGGUGUCAAAUCUACCGGCUCAACCGGUAGCCGCACUCAAAACUGCAGUUCUUGUGUGAAGUAGAGGCAGGCGGAAUUCCUUGUGUAGCGGUGAAAUGCGUAGAUAUUAGGAGGAACACCAGUGGCGAAGGCGGCCUGCUGGGCUUUUACUGACGCUGAGGCUCGAAAGUGUGGGGAGCAAACAGG